rnacentral:tRNA from 1 species
GAGGGUAUAGCUCAGUGGUAGAGUGCAGGCUUAGCAUGCACGAGGUCCUAGGUUCAAUCCCUGGUACCUCUG